GGGUCUUCAAUCUGCAUCAGAGGACAGACUUCAGUGAGAGAGAGGAGCGAAGAAGAAGCAGCCUGUGAUGCUCACAUGACAGUGUGACUGAGACCACUAGAUGAGAGGGGUGAAGCUGUAGAAGAAUAACUGAAGAGAGAGAGAGAAGAUGCCUCCUCCCCCACCACCCCCUGCCCCUCCCCCACCCCCAACCUUCGCUGUGGCAAAUACACAGAAGCCAUCACUCAGCAAGAAUGAAGCACAAGGAAGAAACGCCUUACUGUCUGAUAUCGGAAAAGGAGCUCGCCUGAAGAAGGCCGUGACCAAUGACAGGAGUCAACCCAUCAUUGACAAACCCAAAGGUGGAGGUGGAGGUGGAGGAGGAGGAGGAGGAGGUGGAGGAGGAGGAGGAGGAGGAGGAGGUGGCGGAGGA